UACGAAGGGAGCUAGCGUUGUUCGGAAUCACUGGGCGUAAAGAGCACGUAGGCGGAUGUGUCAGUCAGGGGUGAAAUCCCGGAGCUCAACUUCGGAACUGCCUUUGAUACAGCACAUCUGGAGUCCGGAAGAGGUGGGUGGAAUUCCUAGUGUAGAGGUGAAAUUCGUAGAUAUUAGGAAGAACACCGGUGGCGAAGGCGGCCCACUGGUCCGGUACUGACGCUGAGGUGCGAAAGCGUGGGGAGCAAACAGG
rnacentral:rRNA from 1 species